AAGGCCUGAUGUGUGUGAGAUUACCCGCUGAAUUUAAGCAUAUAAGUAAGCGGAGGAAAAGAAACUAACUAGGAUUCCCUUAGUAAUGGCGAAUGAACAGGGAUCAGCUCAGUGCCAAAUCGGAAUCACUUGUGGUUCUGAAAUGUGGCUUGAAGGCAGUACCAGUGGCAUCGCGGACGAAAGUCUCUUGGAAAAGAGCGUCAUAGAGGGUGAGAAUCCCGUGAGUCGUUCGCCGUUUGUCACGUACGGUCUGCGUUCUAACGAGUCGCGUUCCUUGGGAUUGGAGCGUAAACGGGUGGUAAAUUUCAUCCAAAGCAAAAUAUAUACUCGAGACCGAUAGCACAAAAGUACCGUGAGGGAAAGGUGAAAAGAACUUUGAGAAGAGGGUUAAAUAGUGCCUGAAAUCGUUGAGAAGGAAGCGGAUGCCGCCGUUGCAUAUGCUGAUUGUAGGAUUGCUGCUCGCUCCUGUCUUCUGCUACUCAUUCACAGACCUGGUCGUGUUGAGCAGUUGUUUGGCAGAUGUUAGUGGUGUUUCCUACUUUCAGUCGUCAGCAUCAC
rnacentral:ncRNA from 1 species